rnacentral:rRNA from 1 species
GACGAACGCUGGCGGCGUGCUUAACACAUGCAAGUCGAACGGAAAGGCCUGCUUUCCCUUGUGGAUUGCGGGUACUCGAGUGGCGAACGGGUGAGUAACACGUGAGUGAUCUGCCCCCAACUUGGGUAUAAGCCUGGGAAACUGGGUCUAAUUCCCGAUAGGACUGCAGGGUGGUGCCUGUGGUGGAAAACGAUUUUCUAGUGGUUGGGGAUGAGCUCGCGGCCUAUCAGCUUGAUGGUGGGGUAAUGGCCUACCAAGGCGGCGACGGGUAGCCGGCCUGAGAGGGUGGACGGCCACAUUGGGACUGAGAUACGGCCCAGACUCCUACGGGAGGCAGCAGUGGGGAAUAUUGCACAAUGGGCGGAAGCCUGAUGCAGCGACGCCGCGUGGGGGAUGACGGCCUUCGGGUUGUAAACUCCUUUCGACCGCGAGGAAGCCACCUGGUUGGAAGGGUGGUGACGGUAGUGGUAGAAGAAGCACCGGCUAACUACGUG